rnacentral:rRNA from 1 species
AACGAACGCUGGCGGCAGGCUUAACACAUGCAAGUCGAACGCUCGUAGCAAUACGAGAGUGGCAGACGGGUGAGUAACGCGUGGGAAUCUACCCAAAGGUACGGAACAACUCAGGGAAACUUGAGCUAAUACCGUAUGUGCCCGAGAGGGCAAAGAUUUAUCGCCUUUGGAUGAGCCCGCGUUGGAUUAGCUAGUUGGUGGGACGG